rnacentral:rRNA from 1 species
UAUAAGUAUAUAAAGAAACUAUUAUGGAAUUUAAGCUAUGUAUUAAAGAGAAUUAUUUAUAUAUAUAGGACAUUUAUCCUAUAAUUAUAUGAACUCUAAGAGAAAUUUUAUAAUAAACGAAGUGAAUUGAAAUAUCUUAGUAACUUUAGGAAAAUAAAUCAAAAGAGAUUCUAUGAAUAGCGUGAGCGAAAGUAGAGAAGCCUAAUAAGUAAAACGGUUUAAAACUGUUUAAACAUUUGGGGAACCUUCCUCAAAGGCUAAAUAUAAUACAUAAGCGAUAGUGAAAAGUACCAUGAGGGAAAUAAAAUAAAAAUAGUAGUUUUAUAAGCAGUUCGAAAUAAAGAACGUACCUUUUGCAUAAUGGGUCACCAAGUUAACGUUAGAUGCGAGAUAACACGUAGUUAAACCGAACGUUAAAAUAACGAUAUAGUGUCUAAAGUUAGACCCGAAGCCUGGUGAUUUUACCAUAGUCAGGAUUAUAAAAGUCCGAACCGGUGAUUGUAGCAAAAAUCUCGGAAGAACUGUGGUAGGUGUAGUGAAAGACAACACUGACUAGGAUAGCUGGUUUUCUGCGAAACCUAUAAUAGUAGGCAGUUUAAGUAAAUAUCUUAGCAGGUACAGAAUUUAAUCUCAGACAAGACAUUUCAAAUGUUUUAUUUUGUACAAAUUGGGGAUCAUGAAGAUUUUAUCAGUGAGUAUGUAGACUCGGAAUGGCAAAGAUAUAUCUUAAACUAUCAGACAUAGAAUGAUAAGGUUGUAUGUCGAAAGGGAAACAGCCCAGAACAAGAGUUAAGGUUCCUAAAUUAUUUGUUAAGUGAAAAUAAGAAAGUUUUUAUUUAAGUCGACAAGGAGAUAGGCUUAGAAGCAGCCAUAAUUUUAUGACCUCGUAACAGAGCGCUUGUUAAAUUAUAAAAGCGUCGAAAAUAUAACGGAUCUAAACAAUAUACCGAAACUUGUCCAUAAUAUAUUAUAAUAAAUAUGUUUAUUGUAAUUUAAUGGGGUAGCAGAACGUUGAGCUAAAGUAUGAGUUUUAUUUUUUAAAUAGAAUUAUAGUAUUUAACUCAAGUGAGAAUGGUGACAUGAGUAACUAAAAGAAAAUUUUCCGCCUUAAGCUUAUGGAUGUAAUUAAGUAACGGCCUCUAAGUUUAUAUAAUCUAAAGAUUUAAACGAUGAGAAAAUCUUUAUUACUAAAAACAACAUUUUGGUGCAAAAUGUGCUGGAAAAAUAGUAAUAUGUUUGUUAUUUAAUAACAAAUAAAAUAACCGUACCUAGAAUCUGAAACAAGUAAGCUAGUAGAGAAUACGAAGGCGUAAAUGAGCUAACAAUCAUAAAGGAACUCGGCAAAUUGACUACCGUAACUUCGGAAUAAGGAGGGCUCAUUAUUCUUGAUGAAUAUCAAGUAAAGAGGAAGAAGCAUGAAAUAAUGUUGUACGACUGUUUAAUUAAAACACAGCACUUUGCUGAAAGAUUAAAAAUCUAAGUAUAAAGUGUGAUAUCUGCCCGGUGCCGGCUGGUUAACAGAUAUAAUUGAAUAUACUAAUAUUUGAUGUAGACGGAAACCCCGGUUAAAGGCGGCCUUAACGUGAGGGUCCUAAGGUAGCGAAAUGCCUUGGCCGUUAAAUGCGGUCUUGCAUGAAUGGUGUAACGAUACAACAGCUGUCUCUAUGAUUGACUCAGUGAAAUUGGAAUAGCUGUGCAGAUACAGCUUACCUCUAGUUAGACGAGAAGACCCUAUGCAGCUUUACUGUCACUAAUUAUAGAGUAUGAUAAACGAUUUUCAGAAUAUAAGGUAAUUGACAAACAUGACAAUGAGAAACCUUUAUUCUUUUUUCAUAUGAAUGAAUUGGUUUAGGAUUAUGAGUAAUUUAUAGUUAUUUUAUGGGCUUGGCUUAUGCUAGGUCACAUAUUAUAAUUUAUAGCUCAUUUUAGUAAAUCAACCUAAUUCAACUUAUUUAUUUUUAAAAUUAGUAAGUACCCUUUGGUAAGGAACUAUCGCUAGGGGACAGUUUAUGUGGGGCACAGACCCUGUAAAGAGUAAACAGGAGUGUCUAAAAAUUUAUAAUUAUUUUGUUUGCUAUUUUGAGUAGUUUAACUAUUUUUAAUCGUAUAAAAAUUAAAUAUAUUUGCAUUUUAUGUAUAUAUAUUUAAGAUUAGGUAAGAUUUUCACUAUAUAGAAAUUAGAGAUAAUUGAGAAUAUUAUGAAGUUUUCUAAUAUUUUCUAGCUAUUAUUUAUAAUAGUUAUGUGUUUAAUAUCUAAAAAGCUCAACGGCUUAAUCUUGCCUUACUGUUUGAUUAUCGACAAAUCUUACAGUUGCGUAAGCAGGGCAUAGGAUCACAAGAUGCCACAAGGAAAGAUCUUGGAUUAUUGGAAAAAGCUACGCUAGGGAUGUUUGUCCUUUAAUAUUUUAUUUAUAAA